rnacentral:tRNA from 2 species
GUCUCAGUAGCUCAGUUGGAUAGAGCAACAGCCUUCUAAGCUGUGGGUCGGGGGUUCGAGCCCCUCCUGGGACGCCA